rnacentral:lncRNA from 1 species
GGAAAAGGGAAAUUUUGCAGCAGAAUCUUCUGUAGCUCAGACUAGUCUCCAACUUAGUAGGCAGCUGAAGGUGGCCUUGUACUCUUCUACAGAUACCUGGCUCUGGCACAGGCUGAGAGGCUCAUCAUGGCUCCUGCAGCAAUCCCACCAUCGACCGAGUGCCCCCAUGCCUCUUGGAUUCAGUGUCACCAAGGAAAUUGCUGAUCUGCCAAAGAACUCUCCGGUAAAUAAAACCCACCUCUAACGAUGGUAUUGUUUGGUGGGGUUGGUAG